AAGUGUAUAGAAAAAACAAUGUGACAUUUUUUUAAUAUCUCUGUUUGUGUUCCACAGAAGAAAGGCAAUGGCGAUUUUCAUUUUUGAGUGAGCUCUCCCUUCAUGUCUCCAAAUACAUCUUGGGGCCAACUGUUCAUGUACAUACGCACAGAAGGUCAGAGGAUCCUUGACAAUCGAAGCGAUGAGCUCUACACCUCUUCGUUCUCACUUCGCUGAAACGCUUCACCAAAAAUCUCAGCGCCGCCAUUACAUCCACCUACUCUAGAAGAGAGAAGUGAAAGAUUACUGCGUGUGGCUCAUUAGGAAUGUUUUAUUUUGUCUGCAAUUUUUUUCCCCCCGUCUAUUGUCUCUCCACCCUCUCAGCAAAAGUCUCGGCGGAAUCACAGCCCUGGGUGCAUCGCAGCGAUGAGAUAAAUGCAGAAAAUGAACUGGAAGAAAACAGGGAGGCGAGAAAAACGCGCGGCUGGCCGACGCUGGCCGAAAACUCAAAGGAGAGAUGGUUACACUGCAUCGCCAGCUUGCCUCAUCUGAUUCCCUGACUCCUGACCUCCCCUGAGGAAGGUGCUCACUGUCAGAAGAACCCCCGGCAUCCUACCGCCACAGAAAGGUGAUUCCUUUAAAGCGCCAGAAACGGAUGAAGGAGCGAGAGGGGGCUGCGCGAGGCGGGCAGACGGGGAGGGGAGCUGUCGCUUGUGUCAGGUUAACCUCAGAGACACAUCCGGAGCUCAGCAUCUGGGAGACGGAGGGGAGAGAGGCACCGUCGCUCCAUUUAGUGCAAGUGAGUUUUGCAUUAAGCAUCCUGCAAUGGCUUUCAUCAGCUUCUUUCUUUCUCACCUCCACUCCCUCCCCCAAAAUUAAAAAAGGCUAAAACGCUAAACUUUGUGCACUGUCAGUCCCACGGGCUGUGUUUAAUCCCAGAUUUAUGCUAGCAGCAUUGCAGCGUUAAGUGUUAAAGAGAGAGAGGAAGAAAGAAAGAGCUUUGCAUGCAGAAAGGAAGAAAAUGAUACUGAUGUUUGUGCAGCACAUGUGUUAAGUCACUCACACGCCACAAUAACACUUGAAAUUGCGGCAGCUGGUGCUGUUAAACAUGCAAACUCUUGUUCCGGUUUCACCAUGGCAGCAACAGAUAGCAACAAAAGUCCCGUUGAGGUCUUUAAGGUAACCCAUUAUGAUGUUUUCAAUUCUUUGAUAUUAUAUUCUGUAUUAUAUAAUUUUAGUAAAAUUAAAUGUAUUAUACGCACAAGUUUCUUUUAUUAAAAAGGUCCUGUAAAGUUUAAAUAGCCUUCUGUGUAAGAGAAAAAUAAAAGUCACUCUCUUGCAUUACUGGUUGACUGUGUGGACAUAUGUAUAUCUCUCUCUCUUUUUUUUUUUUU